rnacentral:rRNA from 1 species
GACGAACGCUGGCGGCGUGCUUAACACAUGCAAGUCGAACGGAAAGGCACUGCUUUUGUGGGGUGCUCGAGUGGCGAACGGGUGCGUAACACGUGAGUAACCUGCCCUUGACUUUGGGAUAACUUCAGGAAACUGGGGCUAAUACCGGAUAGGAGCUCCUGCUGCAUGGUGGGGGUUGGAAAGUUUCGGCGGUUGGGGAUGGACUCGCGGCUUAUCAGCUUGUUGGUGGGGUAGUGGCUUACCAAGGAUUUGACGGGUCGCCGGCCUGAGAGGGUGACCGGCCACAAUGGGACUGAGAGACGGCCCAGACUCCUACGGGAGGCAGCAGUGGGGAAUAUUGCACAAUGGGCGGAAGCCGGAUGCAGCAACGCCGCGUUCGGGAUGACGGCCUGCGGGGUGUAAACCGCUUUCGCCUGUGACGAAGCGGGAGUGACGGUAAUGGGUAAAGAAGCACCGGCUAACUACGUG